rnacentral:rRNA from 1 species
GUGUUCCUACGGGGGGCAGCAGUGGGGAAUAUUGCGCAAUGGGGGAAACCCUGAUGCAGCAAUGCCGCGUGGGUGAAGAGGCACUCCGGUGCGUAAAGCCCUGUCAGCAGGGAAGAAAAUGACAGUACCUGACCAAGAAGCCCCGGCUAACUACGUGCCAGCAGCCGCGGUAAUACGUAGGGGGCAAGCGUUAUCCGGAUUUACUGGGUGUAAAGGGAGCGCAGGCGGUAUGGCAAGUCAGAUGUGAAAACCCAGGGCUCAACCCUGGGACUGCAUUUGCAACUGCCAUACUGGAGUGCCGGAGG